AAAAGAACCCCGGCGAGGGGAGUGAAAAAGAACCUGAAACCGUGUACGUACAAGCAGUGGGAGCACCCUUUGGGGUGUGACUGCGUACCUUUUGUAUAAUGGGUCAGCGACUUAUAUUCUGUAGCAAGGUUAACCGAAUAGGGGAGCCGGAGGGAAACCGAGUCUUAACCGGGCGUUAAGUUGCAGGGUAUAGACCCGAAACCCGGUGAUCUAGCCAUGGGCAGGUUGAAGGUUGGGUAACACUAACUGGAGGACCGAACCGACUAAUGUUGAAAAAUUAGCGGAUGACCUGUGGCUGGGGGUGAAAGGCCAAUCAAACCGGGAGAUAGCUGGUUCUCCCCGAAAGCUAUUUAGGUAGCGCCUCGUGAAUUCAUCUCCGGGGGUAGAGCACUGUUUCGGCUAGGGGGCCAUCCCGGCUUACCAACCCGAUGCAAACUGCGAAUACCGGAGAAUGUUAUCACGGGAGACACACGGCGGGUGCUAACGUCCGUCGUGAAGAGGGAAACAACCCAGACCGCCAGCUAAGGUCCCAAAGUCAUGGUUAAGUGGGAAACGAUGUGGGAAGGCCCAGACAGCCAGGAUGUUGGCUUAGAAGCAGCCAUCAUUUAAAGAAAGCGUAAUAGCUCACUGGUCGAGUCGGCCUGCGCGGAAGAUGUAACGGGGCUAAACCAUGCACCGAAGCUGCGGCAGCGACGCUGAUGCGUUGUUGGGUAGGGGAGCGUUCUGUAAGCCUGCGAAGGUGGCCUGUGAGGGUUGCUGGAGGUAUCAGAAGUGCGAAUGCUGACAUAAGUAACGAUAAAGCGGGUGAAAAGCCCGCUCGCCGGAAGACCAAGGGUUCCUGUCCAACGUUAAUCGGGGCAGGGUGAGUCGACCCCUAAGGCGAGGCCGAAAGGCGUAGUCGAUGGGAAACGGGUUAAUAUUCCCGUACUUGGUGUUACUGCGAAGGGGGGACGGAGAAGGCUAUGUUGGCCGGGCGACGGUUGUCCCGGUUUAAGCGUGUAGGUGUGUGUUCCAGGUAAAUCCGGUU
rnacentral:rRNA from 1 species